GACGAACGCUGGCGGCGUGCUUAACACAUGCAAGUCGAACGCUGAAGCCUAGCUUGCUGGGUGGAUGAGUGGCGAACGGGUGAGUAACACGUGAGUAACCUGCCCUCUUCUUUGGGAUAACGCCCGGAAACGGGUGCUAAUACUGGAUAUUCACUGGCCUUCGCAUGGGGGUUGGUGGAAAGGUUUUUUCUGGUGGGGGAUGGGCUCGCGGCCUAUCAGCUUGUUGGUGGGGUGAUGGCCUACCAAGGCUUUGACGGGUAGCCGGCCUGAGAGGGUGACCGGUCACAUUGGGACUGAGAUACGGCCCAGACUCCUACGGGAGGCAGCAGUGGGGAAUAUUGCACAAUGGGCGAAAGCCUGAUGCAGCGACGCCGCGUGAGGGAUGGAGGCCUUCGGGUUGUAAACCUCUUUCGCUCAUGGUCAAGCCGCAACUUGGGUUGCGGUGAGGGUAGUGGGUAAAGAAGCGCCGGCUAACUACGUGCCAGCAGCCGCGGUAAUACGUAGGGCGCGAGCGUUGUCCGGAAUUAUUGGGCGUAAAGGGCUUGUAGGCGGUUGGUCGCGUCUGCCGUGAAAUCCUCUGGCUUAACUGGGGGCGUGCGGUGGGUACGGGCUGACUUGAGUGCGGUAGGGGAGACUGGAACUCCUGGUGUAGCGGUGGAAUGCGCAGAUAUCAGGAAGAACACCGGUGGCGAAGGCGGGUCUCUGGGCCGUUACUGACGCUGAGGAGCGAAAGCGUGGGGAGCGAACAGG
rnacentral:rRNA from 1 species